UACGGGGGGGGGCAAGCGUUGUUCGGAAUUACUGGGCGUAAAGGGCUCGUAGGUGGCCAACUAAGUCAUACGUGAAAUCCCUCGGCUUAACCGGGGAACUGCGUCUGAUACUGGAUGGCUUGAGGUUGGGAGAGGGAUGCGGAAUUCCAGGUGUAGCGGUGAAAAUGCGUAGAUAUCUGGAGGAACACCGGUGGCGAAGGCGGCAUCCUGGACCGACACUGACGCUGAGGAGCGAAAAGCCAGGGGAGCAAACGGGG
rnacentral:rRNA from 1 species